UAUACUCUAUAGCUUAGGUUAUAUACUAUAGACUAUAUAUUAUAUACCAAUAUUGUGCAUAAAACUUAAAGCAUGUAAGCAUACACAAUAAUAAUUAUCAUUAGACCUAUAGUAACUAAGACUCGUACUAUUUAGUACUACUUUAAUAUUACCUUUAAACUAUUAGGCAUAAUGAAAUAAUGAUUAAUGAUUUCAGUGUUUUCCGCACUCGAGAGGAAAGAGGUUGCAGGGAACUUAGAGACUAAUCUUUGCCAACAUACUGGAUUUCAGGUGAUGACAAUAGGAGCAGAUAGACUAUGAGUGUGUGUUUGGCCAUCCAGAUUUCAUAACUACAACUGAUGUUCAAUUACAAGGGAUAUUAAUCAGUCUCUGUAGACUAUACACUGUGCCUAGUUUCAUCCUCAGAGACUGAUGUGUAAGCUUAAAGUAAAGACAUCAAAUCAAAGUAUCAGCUAUCAAGAAGAGAAGAACAUUCAAAAUCAUAUUGUGAUACACAAAUCAAGGAAGUCUAUGACCAGCAUUAUGAUACAGGCCAAGAAAAAGCUGGAUAUUUGAUUGGAAGGGUGGCACAAAAAAGAUGGGUUAUCACUAGGGAAUCAAGCUCGGAAUACAGUUCACUGUUGGGACAUCAAGCCAAAUACCUUUAAACUUAUUUGAAUCAUU